rnacentral:rRNA from 1 species
GAUUAUUCCAUAAUGUCACGUACGGUUACUUUUCAUAGAAGUAAUUUGCUAGGAGUAUUACGAGCAGCUGCUUAAAACUCGAAGAACUUGGCGGUUCCACAAAACCAUCCAGAGGCUCUUGGCGCUUAAACCGAUGAUCCGCGUGAUAUCUUACCCACUCUAUAUGGUAAUGUACUGCCGUCGAAAGCUUAUGAUGUGAGUGUAUAAAAAUAGGCUUCAUCUUAGGCAUAGAUUAGAUCUAUGUGCUAAGACUAGGUCAGGUCGAAGUGUUCUUUAUGAGUGAGGGGUUAGCUGAGAGACAAUUUUUAAGAUAUAACAAGCUUUAAAAUGAAAUUUUUAUAGUGAGGCGGAUUUGGGAGUAAAGGGAGAUUAACUCACUCUUUUGAAUAGACGCAACUGUGGUGCGUACAAAUCGCCCGUCACCCUAGCUGAAAGGAGAGGU